CAAAUGACAGCUUUCACUUUUUCAAAUAUAUCACAUUGCAAACAUAACCAAUAAAUCACAGGAUGUCCAUAAGUCAAGCCAUCCCGCAUUCAUUCCCCUUCGACUUCCAAUCAAUUGACACCGAACAACACUCGAUAUCCCUCGACCUUCAGACCGAUAUCUGAAAAUAGAUAGGAAUCGCAGUUGGCCAAUUACUGUCCAACCCCCACCUCUCACGCAAUCCUGCACCACCUGAACCAGCACCACCAACAUCAUCAUCACCAUCAUCAUCGCCGCACCACCCGAAUUGCCGGCUGACGUUUGACAUCACUUGAGUGUGCGACCACCUGACAAAUACCUCGAAUAUCAUUCACACCGGGACUCGUGAAUCGUGAAUCGGGAUUCGGAAUCUUACACUCAUCAUAUCGCCGGCCACUGAUUGGCAUUGACAGACGUCGACGCAGACGCGUCGCCGGGCAACUGCAAUUUUGUAUCUUGAUAAAUUACUUAUGACUGGCCCAGACAUUGAUGAGUACUCGGUGUACUCACUGCUCGGUACUCAGUACUCACUUGUCGGUUUUCCGGUGGAUAAUGGAAGGUGGAAGGGGGUUGGGAGGGGAGGCCUCGGGCACGCAGCACAAAUCACCAAGUGCGCACCUGAAAACAUUUAACGAUAAACAAACAUGGUGCGAAAGUGAUGGCCUAUUGCAUACCCUUCAAAGGAAAUUUAUGAAAAUAAUACAAAUAUGCAUAUUCGUGGUUUUAAAAACUUAGCCUUAUGCAGCAAUCGCUAUUGAAAUAAUAAUAUAAAAAACCCAUUCAUAAAAAUCAAUUGUCAGUAUUUUUAUUAAAACAUUUGAACCUUUUUUUUUUACUUCAAAAGCCUUAAAAUCUUUCAUUGAAAAAUAAAAACAGAAAGAACGAAUGCAAUGGUAGUGAGUCAAAAGGAAUUGGACUGUGGGUGUUGACAAAAAAAAGGGUGCACCAGAGGGUAUACGCAAAUGAAUUAGUAAUAAUAUUUGCUUGUUUGCCUUUGUACUGCUUAUUCCCGCCCCUCCCCGCCAACCCAACAGCAUGCACAUUUCGCGUUCGUUAUUUUUUUUUUUUGCAAAACUUUUUCUCUUUUUUUGCCAUACUUAUACUUAUAACGAUUUCGUAGCUGUUUCAGUGUUUUGGCAGCCAACAAAGGCGACAUCGAAUUGGGUUCUAGGCGGGCAGGGGUGGUGGAAAUGUGGGGAAAUCGAUGAGACGACAACUUGUGAUGGAGGUUUUCUUCUAAAUGGAGGUAUGGAUACGAUGGAGGCGUCGCCGACGGCGUCGGUGGGACAGUUAAUGGCGACAACGACGGCGCACGUCUGGGUCUGGAAGCCCCGACUUUGGCGACAGCCAACCGAUCCGCUGUUGGUAAUGGUGACUCUGGUUCUGGUACGGUGUCGUCGACCAGACGAAAUCCCGCCAGCAGGCAAUAUCUCGCAGGAAAAUAGUGCCACACACCACUCAACCAGGCAGACAGACUCCUUCUUCGGAAUGACGGAAUGGAGAACCGAAAAAAAAUGAAAUAAACCUGAAAGAGCGAAAAUCAAACCACCCAUAUCAACUGGGUAAAUCAAAGCAAUUUCAAAACUAAGCAGGCAGACAAUAACAAAUCACGUUCAUCGCAAAAAGGAUGUGAUGGAUGGAGCAUUUGUUCAAAUGCUAUUAGGACUCAAUGAAAAGGAUAUGAAAUAAGGAACUUCUUAACAGCAAGUAAAUUGGAAAGCCCAGUUGUGAGCUUAAAAUAACAUAUUGAACUUAACACGACAUUAUUUUUACCAUUUUGUGUUACAAUACAAAUUUAGUAAAAUAUCUCAUCAAAUUUUAAUCAUUUUUAGGACAGAAAAGUUGGAAAUGUUAUUUCUUGUUUGAGACGAAGUCCAAUAAAGUUAUAUAUUAUUUGUCAUAUGCUUAUGUACACAGAAU
ensembl:ncRNA lncRNA:CR44347 long non-coding RNA:CR44347